rnacentral:rRNA from 1 species
CCUACGGGAGGCAGCAGUGAGGAAUUUUGGUCAAUGGCCGAGAGGCUGAACCAGCCAAGUCGCGUGAGGGAAGAAGGACCUACGGGUUGUAAACCUCUUUUGUCGGGGAGCAAAGAGAACAAAGAGAGGUUCAAUGAGAGUACACGAAGAAAAAGCAUCGGCUACCUCCGUGAAAGCAGCCGAGGGAAUAGGGAGGAUGCGAGCGUUACACGGAUUGAUUGGGUUUAAAGGGUGAGCAGGCGUAGGGGCAAGUCAGCGGUCAAAUUGCGGGGCUCAACCCCGUACUGCAGUUGAAACUGCAUCCCUUGAGUGCGCGAGAAGUAUGCGGAAUGCGUGGUGUAGCAGUGAAAUGCAUAGAUAUCACGCAGAACUCCGAUUGCGAAGGCAGCAUACCGGCGCUCAACUGACGCUCAUGCACGAAAGCGUGGGUAUCGAACAGGAUUAGAUACCCCUGUAGUC